rnacentral:rRNA from 1 species
GACGAACCGUGCGAACGUUGUUCGGAAUCACUGGGCUUAAAGGGCUCGUAGGCGGUCUGUCACGUCGGGAGUGAAAACUCGGGGCUUAACCCCGAGCCUGCUUCCGAUACGGGCAGACUAGAGGUAUGCAGGGGAGAACGGAAUUCCUGGUGUAGCGGUGAAAUGCGCAGAUAUCAGGAGGAACACCGGUGGCGAAGGCGGUUCUCUGGGCAUUACCUGACGCUGAGGAGCGAAAGUGUGGGGAGCGAACAGG